rnacentral:rRNA from 1 species
GAGUUUGAUCCUGGCUCAGGAUGAACGCUAGCGACAGGCCUAACACAUGCAAGUCGAGGGGCAGCACGGGAGUAGCAAUACAACUGGUGGCGACCGGCGCACGGGUGAGUAACACGUAUGCAACCUGCCUGUAAGAGGGGGAUAACCCGUUGAAAGACGGACUAAUACCGCAUAAUACUGGAGAUCUGCAUGGAUAUCCGGUUAAACAUUUAUGGCUUACAGAUGGGCAUGCGCAUGAUUAGAUAGUUGGAGAGGUAACGGCUCCCCAAGUCAACGAUCAUUAGGGGUUCUGAGAGGAAGGUCCCCCACACUGGUACUGAGACACGGACCAGACUCCUACGGGAGGCAGCAGUGAGGAAUAUUGGUCAAUGGGCGCGAGCCUGAACCAGCCAAGUCGCGUGCAGGAAGAAUGUCCUAUGGAUUGUAAACUGCUUUUGCAGGGGAAUAAAGUGCGGCACGUGUGCCGUUUUGUAUGUACUCUGCGAAUAAGGAUCGGCUAACUCCGUGCCAGCAGCCGCGGUAAUACGGAGGAUCCGAGCGUUAUCCGGAUUUAUUGGGUUUAAAGGGUGCGUAGGCGGGAUAAUAAGUCAGUGGUGAAAGUUUGCAGCUUAACUGUAAAAUUGCCGUUGAAACUGUUUAUCUUGAGUAUGGUCAAGCAGGCGGAAUGUGUAAUGUAGCGGUGAAUGCUUAGAUAUUACACAGAACACCGAUUGCGAAAGCAGCUUGCUGGGCCAUUACUGACGCUGAUGCACGAAAGCGUGGGGAG